rnacentral:piRNA from 1 species
UGGCUGCCAUACACAGUAACACUACUGC